rnacentral:rRNA from 1 species
UACGUAGGUGGCAAGCGUUAUCCGGAAUUAUUGGGCGUAAAGGGUGCGUAGGUGGUUUAUUAAGUCUGAGGUGAAAGUGCGGGGCUCAACUCCGUAUUGCCUCAGAAACUGGUAGACUCGAGUGUAAGAGGGGGCAAUGGAAUUCCAUGUGUAGCGGUAAAAUGCGUAGAUAUAUGGAGGAACACCAGUGGCGAAGGCGGUUGCCUGGCUUAUAACUGACACUGAUGCACGAAAGCGUGGGGAGCAAAUAGGAUUAGAUACCCUAGUAGUCCACGCCGUAAACGAUGAAUACUAAGUAUUGGGGAAACUCAGUGCUGCAGCUAACGCAAUAAGUAUUCCGCCUGGGGAGUAUGCACGCAAGUGUGAA